rnacentral:rRNA from 1 species
CGACGAUGAACCUUGGGAGCUUUGCUUUGGGGGGAUUAGUGGCGAACGGGUGAGUAACACGUGAGUAACCUGCCCUGGACUCUGGGAUAACCCCGAGAAAUCGGAGCUAAUACCGGAUAGGACCUGGAACCGCAUGGUUUUGGGUGGAAAGUUUUUUCGGUCUGGGAUGGACUCGCGGCCUAUCAGCUUGUUGGUGAGGUAAUGGCUCACCAAGGCGUCGACGGGUAGCCGGCCUGAGAGGGUGACCGGCCACACUGGGACUGAGACACGGCCCAGACUCCUACGGGAGGCAGCAGUGGGGAAUAUUGCACAAUGGGCGAAAGCCUGAUGCAGCAACGCCGCGUGAGGGAUGACGGCCUUCGGGUUGUAAACCUCUUUUAGUAAGGAAGAAGGGGAGCUUGCUCCUUGACGGUACUUGCAGAAAAAGGACCGGCUAACUACGUGCCAGCAGCCGCGGUAAUACGUAGGGUCCGAGCGUUGUCCGGAAUUAUUGGGCGUAAAGAGCUCGUAGGCGGUUUGUCACGUCUGCUGUGAAAUCCCGAGGCUCAACCUCGGGCCUGCAGUGGGUACGGGCAGACUGGAGUGCGGGUAGGGGAGAUUGGAAUUUCCUGGUGUAGCGGUGGAAUGCGCAGAUAUCAGGAGGAACACCGAAUGGCGAAGGGCAGAUCUUCUGGGCCGUAACUGACGCUGAGGAGCGAGAAGCGUGGGGGAGCGAACAGGAUUAGAUACCCCUGGUAGUCCCACGCUCGUAAACGUUGGGGCGCUAGAUGUGGGGGACCAUUCCAACGGGUUUUCCGUG